GAAACGAAUUGUCCGGUUACAAUUAUAAUUGUGUAGAAUUUAGAAUACCCAGGAUUUCGGGAAUAAAAUAGAUAUGGUCGGAUAGAGGAGGUUCUGCAGAUCAAUAGUGUAAUCCUUUAAUUGAUGUUAAAUAAAUAUAAUUGAACAAUAAGUUAAUAUUAAAAAAAUCCACACGAAUUAGUGAAGUGUUAGUGGACAUAAAAAUGCGAAAUAUAAGUGUAAAAUUAUUUUAAAUCGAAAAAUACGUUCUUCGAAUAGUGGUAAUUUUCAGCUUUAAACGCAAAUAUCUCGAAUAUUCCCGCGAGUAUAAGUAUAUAUACUCUUGAACUUAAGAACCUCCUCUUUAACUAAAAAUGUUUACUUGUUCGUUAAAGAUAUCUGUUCGUAUGCAGAAUAUCUAAAAUUGUUUAAAAUAAAAACAACAUUAGUGUUUCAUAAUGAAUAAAAGUGAACACAGUUCGAAUAUGCAUAUACGCAUUUCUGCUCCGAAGCAUGAUUUUAAAAAUUAAAUUAAAAUUAAAAUAUCAUUAAUCAUCACCUUUUUUAUGAUUUUUCAUAGAAUGAACUUCGAUGACCUCGUGGAAGAAAUGGAUUCCGAAGUUGAAUGCUCACAACCGUUGAACCCCCAUAGUGGUUGUGUUGAACAUAAAUAUUUUUCAUUUUUUAAUAAUAUUUUUUUACAGAUAAAGUGUUUAAAAAAAUAUCUUGCAACCUCGUUUGCGCUCCUCGAGUAGAACCAUCACAAAUUGUGGUACCGUCGCCAUCUUCUGGCGGCCAUGCAGAUAUAAUCCAGAAGCUGGAUGCCAUUGAGACCCGACUCACUGCCAUUAAAAAGUCCCUAACAGACAAAAUGCCAGAAAAGGCCGAGGUGCAGACACAAAGCAAAUUAUUGCGCGAAUGCCGCGUCAUAGCGGCAAAGAUGCAUCAUUCGAUUAUCCGCAUCACCCGUGACUUGGAGGACGAACAUUACGUGGAGCUCGCUUCGAAACUGCCCAUGUCAUCGAAAGAGCACGUAUUAAUUUUAAGUUGUACGUAUUAGUUUUAAGUUGUAAAUAUUAGUUCUAAGUUGUACAUAUUAGUUUUACGUUGUAAAUAUUACUUUUAAGUUGUAUAAAUUAGU